rnacentral:rRNA from 1 species
CAGUCGAGCGAGUCUGCCUUGAAGAUCGGAGUGCUUGCACUCUGUGAAACAAGAUACAGGCUAGCGGCGGACGGGUGAGUAACACGUGGGUAACCUGCCCAAGAGAUCGGGAUAACACCUGGAAACAGAUGCUAAUACCGGAUAACAACAGAUGAUGCCUAUCAACUGUUUAAAAGAUGGUUCUGCUAUCACUCUUGGAUGGACCUGCGGUGCAUUAGCUAGUUGGUAGGGUAACGGCCUACCAAGGCGAUGAUGCAUAGCCGAGUUGAGAGACUGAUCGGCCACAUUGGGACUGAGACACGGCCCAAACUCCUACGGGAGGCAGCAGUAGGGAAUCUUCCACAAUGGACGCAAGUCUGAUGGAGCAACGCCGCGUGAGUGAAGAAGGGUUUCGGCUCGUAAAGCUCUGUUGUUGGUGAAGAAGGACAGGGGUAGUAACUGACCUUUGUUUGACGGUAAUCAAUUAGAAAGUCACGGCUAACUACGUGCCAGCAGCCGCGGUAAUACGUAGGUGGCAAGCGUUGUCCGGAUUUAUUGGGCGUAAAGCGAGUGCAGGCGGCUCGAUAAGUCUGAUGUGAAAGCCUUCGGCUCAACCGGAGAAUUGCAUCAGAAACUGUCGAGCUUGAGUACAGAAGAGGAGAGUGGAACUCCAUGUGUAGCGGUGAAAUGCGUAGAUAUAUGGAAGAACACCGGUGGCGAAGGCGGCUCUCUGGUCUGUUACUGACGCUGAGGCUCGAAAGCAUGGGUAGCGAACAGGAUUAGAUACCCUGGUAGUCCAUGCCGUANACGAUGAGUGCUNNNUGUUGGGAGGUUUCCGCCUCUCAGUGCUGCAGCUAACGCAUUA